GAUGAACGCUGACAGAAUGCUUAACACAUGCAAGUCGAUGGGGAAGUGGUGCUUGCACCAUGGUAACCAUGGCGGACGGGUGAGUAACGCGUAAGGAACUUGCCUGCGGGACUGGGAUAACAGCAGGAAACUGCUGAUAAUACCGGAUAAGGUCAUUAAGCUGCAUAGCUUAGUGAUGAAAGGAGACGCCUGCGGAGAGCCUUGCGUCCUAUUAGCUAGUUGGAGGGGUAACGGCCCACCAAGGCGAAGAUAGGUAGCCGGCCUGAGAGGGUGGACGGCCACAAGGGGACUGAGAUACGGCCCUUACUCCUACGGGAGGCAGCAGUGGGGAAUAUUGGACAAUGGGGGCAACCCUGAUCCAGCAAUUCUGUGUGCACGAAGACGGUUUUCGGAUUGUAAAGUGCUUUCAGCAGGGAAGAAGGAAGUGACGGUACCCGCAGAAGAAGCGACGGCUAAAUACGUG
rnacentral:rRNA from 1 species